GACUCAAGUUGGAUAUAAAGUACCCCCAAACAGUCAUACACUAGAAAAGCACAAUUGCCUUGAAGUUAAAAACGGGGCUGUGGAGGUGGCCUAGGCUAAGACGAUAGCAGCUCCUUCAUGACCAGGCCUUGUGCUGAGGUCUCUACUACUAUUAAAAGGCUAGUACGAGGCCAAGGAAGUGGCAAAUUGGAUCUGAUGACAUAUCUUGGAACAACCGCGCCCCCUGGCGAAUCUUCACAGCCAUCAAUUCUGUAUAAUUAUUGGAUGGGGAAGGUUGCCUUGUACCGGAGCUGGCAGGCCUCUGAUUGAAGAGGAAUGGCACAUUGGGAGAAUCAGAUGCAUCUGUGCUUUGAACCAGCGCCCUGUCCUGUCUUGUCUGUGAUUGAGAAGGGAAGGGGGAAAGACUGACAAAUAUCACACAAGGUAUUUGAAUUUACUAAAUUAGGGGUCCAAAUGGAAGGGAAAGUUUUGUGCUUUCAAGAGAUCACUGAGAUCCAUAGGCUAUGUAUAGGCUGACCCAAUGCAUCUGGUCUGAAUUCACAUGUCUCCU